rnacentral:misc_RNA from 1 species
AAGUCGUAACAAGGUAACCGUAGGUGAACCUGCGGUUGGAUCAUUAAUAAAAGAAAGGCUUUAGAGCCCUCUUAAACGCUAGUGUCUGCCUAAAAAACAGGCCUAGUAAACCCACUUGUGAACCGUUUAUUGUCUCUGGCGGGAUUAUUCUCUCGGGAAUGCCCGCCAGUCUAUUUGUUAACCCCAUGUUUUUAAAAACGUCUUAUCAAAUAUAAAAAUUUGAAACAACUUUUGACAACGGAUCUCUUGGCUCUC